ensembl:lncRNA novel transcript, antisense to CBLN1
AGGCGCGGCGAGGCGGGUGGCGCGCGGCAGCAGGGUUGGGCUCUCGCCGUGAGUCGACGAAGGGAGCGCGGGCGCGCGCCCGCGUCCGCGCACUGAGAGUCGCCUCGGCCGCUCGCUUUCUCGACUCCCGCCUCGCGCCUCGAUCCUGUUCCGCCUCCCUCGGCCCUCCUGCCCGCCCCCACUCGUCGGCCCUCAGGUUCCUGGAAAGUGAAAAUUUCAUUUCUUUGUGGACAGGUACCUAAAAUGUCUCAUUAUUCAUCAAUUAAUGAAAAACAAAUGAAAAUUUGAGAGAGAUAUUCUGAAGAAUAAAAGGAUCAAGUUGGGUCAUUUCUAAAAUCUCAGAGACCUAAUAGGAUGGGGUCUUAGAGAAACAUCUUUUGAGCCACAGACUUCUUUGUUACCAGAAGGAAAAUGAAAGAAGAAAUUUAAAUACCACUUGAAGAGAGCUGAUCGCCACCAACUGGCCUCUGGGUGGAUUUGGCCAAUGGAAGCACCUGUAGAGGGAAGAGAGUGAGGUUAGGAUAUUUCUUCCUGCUGUCUCCGUGCUUCCCUGCAGAGAGUGUGAAGAAAUGACCCUGAAAAGCCUCUGGCAGAGGAUUCUUCUUUCAGGAUGGUGUCGCCUCCUCAGCAGCCCAUCCUCCUCCCCUGGACUCAAGCUCUCAUUCCAGUAACACUCCUUCCUCCUUCUCCAUCUUCAGGGGGAGGUUUGCCAGUCGGUGGGUUCUAAGCAUAUCUCGCUGAUUCCCCCCAACCCUGCCGACACCUCUGUAGGUCGUCCCUUCAUUAAAAUCUCUCCAUUUGAACUAUCUGAGUUUAAUUCCAUUUCCUCCUGGUAUCUCAGUGAUACACGGUAUCAGUACAAAAAUCUCGCUUCACCUUCAGAACCAACAGAUUUGAGACAUUUUAUCCUCUGUGGAACCAUUAGUUAUUUUGUCAUUGGUUGUAUCAGAAAAAAAAAUCAGGAAUGCAAAUCCUUCUUUAUUACAGAUUCAGAUUUGCAUAUUACCAAUGUUAUAUAUUUUAAACAAAACUAUUCAUCAUAAGUUUUAAAAAUUAACUACUGGAGUAGUUAAUGAAUCUGAAUGUAAUUAUGUAGCUUUCAUAAUAUUAAAGUAAAAAUACUAAAAGAAGUAUUUCUUAAAGAAGCAAAUGCUCAAUCUCCAAGUAAAUUUUAUUCUAUGCUCUUCCGGUAUAAGAAUAUGUUAAUAUCUUGAAAAAUAUCAUAUUAUUUUGUGAACUCAUAAAGCUAUUUUGAGUUUUUGUAAAAUGAAAACCUUACCAAAAUGUAUUUUAUUGUUGGAAAGCUUGACCGUUACUGCUGUUUAAUUUUUUGAGCUUGUAAACUUUAUUUGUGCAUGUUUUCAACAAAGAAGGAUUUUAUUGUUAUUACAUAAAACAGGUGAUUUCUAGAUUUUAAAAUCACAAAUUGAAAGCAAGGCACAAUAAUAUAUAUUUCAAGAUAUAGGUACUUAGGAGGCAUCCUUUUAGUCAUCUGUUCAAUGUAGCCAUCUAUUUUACACCUACUGUCUACUAUUGUUUGAGGUCCUUGCCAAAGUAUUGCAGGCUAGUUAGGAAACAUAAAACAAUUAGAAAGUAAUCUAUGACAAGUAAGCUAUCUAUAAAUGGCAAUGAAGGGUAGAACAAAUUCAAUGAAAAUAUCUAUUUAAUCCUAGUGUUUACUGGUCUAGAAGAAUAGGCUGAGUAAAUUAGUAUUUCUCUGGCUGUUGUGGUAACACAUUGCAUGCUAUAACAGUUUUAAGUAAUUACAGGUGCAUUGAAAUUUAUCUAUGGCUUUGUCAUCAUAUUCUAAAAUGUCAUGAGUACUUUUUUCUGACCUCAAUUACUAUGAAAUUGGUUUCCAAUAUUUAAUUAACCAAGAAUAUCAAGUCUAUAGGGUAUUAUUAAGGUGAGACUUCUGUAGCCUUUUCAAUAAAGACCAGAAUUUUGGAGUGCCUUGAACCUUAAUCAUUGAUCUUUAAUUCUUAUUAAGUCAACUGCCCACCUUUUAAAGACUGAGGCCCAGGAAGAGUAAGUUUCUCUGAGACAAUGCAUACAGUACAGUGCUUCUUGGGUAUUGGCUCUAAGACCAGAUGCAAAGAAAGGCUAAAAUCCCAUUUCAUUGUUCAUUAGGUGAGAACCCUUUGUUAAGCUGUGUAACCUCUGUGCAUAGUUUCCUCAUCAGCAAAGUCAGAAAAAGUAUGUACCUGAAGGACUGAUUGUAAGGCUGGGAUGAGAGAAUCCAUGUGAUCAGCCCUCACCAACAGGUGCUGCCCAGUUCAUGAGUGCUGCUGCUGUCCUGCCCAAGUACCCAGCUUGCAGAGUGCCAGAGUUAGAGUCCCAGGGGUGUUCUCCACAGCUGCAUGCUUGAUCCAGGCCUAUCAGGUGUUAUUUGUUGACGGAACCAGGCAUCAUCAGCAAACAAAACUGACAAAGCUUCCUGCCCUCUGUGGAAGGCAUCUGAGGAAGAGACUGGAUUUUGUAGCAACAUGUUAUUCUCAUUAUAAACUUUAUCAUUGGAAUACUAAAGCCAAAUCAUCCCCCAUCUCCUUGAUCAGGAUACCCACUUAAUCUAGGCAGCUACACAAUUGUGAGAGCCUUUGUUUUUUUCUGCUGAAACAUCCUUAAAAAGAUACCUCACAACCCAAGAUUUGGCUUUUCUUAAAUACGAUUUUUAAUUUUUUUCAUUUCUAUCUAGAGAUUUAAUUGGAAAUGGAAAAUCAUCAAUUUUCCAAUUAAAUGUCUGUUCCAAUCAACAUUAUACCUUUUAGGUUGUCAUUGUCAUUUUUAAGUUUAAGCAACUUUAAGGAUUUUGAAUCUGGCUGCCUGUAAAUUAAAGGUGAAAGUAAUCAUUGUGUUGGAUUGGAACAUUUUGUCAAUUGAGAGUGGUUUCCUUGUUCUUAGUGUAUGAAAAGUUUAUUUUUCUAAUGU